AGAGAGAGAGAGAGAGAGAGAGAGAGAGAGCUGGAAACGGGCUGAGUAGAGAGAAAAAAAACGAAAAGAAUAUGAAGAAAGCGAAAGAAAAGGAAAAAAGGGGGGAAGAGGGCUUGGUCUUCAAUUUCCUCUCAAUUUUUCAGGGUAAGCUUAAAUUUUAUUUAUUGAAAGAUGAUAUUUGAUUUUAGGAUUGAUAGAAAUUUCUCAAAUUCGAGAUUUUGGAAGAAUUAAAGGUUAAUGGUAGGUAUUUAAGGUAUUAAACAAGAAUAUAUCAAAGAAAUGUAUAUUUGGAAAAUUUGAGUUGAAGGGGGGAAAAUAAAAAUAUAUAUGAAAUGGGUUUGUAAAUUAGAGCCUAAAUAUUUAUAUCGAUUGUUUGUAUAUGAUAUUAAACACAUGAUUUAUGAUGUAUUACAAUGAGAUAUGGAGUUGAGGUUGAAUUUUGAUAUUUUAAAUUAAUUUUCGGGCAAAAAUUAGUGCAGGGGUGCUAUUUUUGAAAUUCUGCCCAGAAAAGUGCUAUAUCUGUCAAUGGUUUCAAUGUCAGACUUCAAUAUGCAGAAAUUGGUACCAGAUUUCAAUACUUUGGGAUUUUAGUGCUAUUUUUGUCAAACCUUUGUUUUCUCUAAUUUUUAUAAGUUUGAAUGAAACUAAAUGAUAAAUUUUGGAGUUGAGGUAUUGGAUUAAAUCAUGUAUUGGGGUUGUGUGUGUAUAAGAUAGUGAUUUUAAGAAAGUAUUAAGUACUUUAAUGGAGUUGAUUGGUUGCUAAUAAUUCAAGAGAAAAUAAGUUAGAGAAAUAGAGAUGCAAGAAUAAAUAUAGAAGUUGAAGAAUUGCACGGUAGAUUUACAUUAAUUUAAUUGUCGUGUUUUAAUUUGAGUAAUUAUAUCAUUAUUUCAGGUAGUGAUGUGGGAGCCUGGAAAUUCUCUUCAACUCAACCAAAUAUUUAUUCAUAGAUCCGUGAGUGAAAAAAUUUAUAUAUUUUCAAAGGUAAUUAUGCUAUUACAUUACGUGUGAUUAUGCGAAUUAUUUGUUUAAUUACAUAAUUAAUAUGGAAAGACUCUUUUACUAUGAUAUAUGUGGAAUUUAAAAUUUGGAUAUGGAUUAUUUGUGAGUUGGAAUGUGAGACAUAUGUGAUAUUGAGAUCGAUCAGAAAAGUACUGGUGGUUAUAUAUUUCUUCUAGUUCACAAAGGAGCCUUGACCGUGUUCUAUACUACAUUGGGGGGUCAAUUGGGGAUGAAGGGGUUGUGAUCGUGUACAUAUAGUUCAUUGAGGGGUCUUAGACGUGUUCUAGAAUUGAUUAUCAGAUGUUUUAGAGAUCACUUUCGAACACGGAGGGAGCUAAAGGCCCGUGACGAAAUUGCUUGGCCCGAAGGGCGAAUUUCAGAUUUUAGUCAGAGGGUACAUUUUUUGUGGAUCACAUGUGAAGUGAUAAGAUGAGAUGAUGGUAUAGAUAUCAAUUGAUGUCUAUCUCUUGGAUAUUAGAUGAUAUUUACAGAGUUAUGAGAAUGUCUCAUUCUUUUGGUUAUAAAUUUUAUGAGGCUAUCGUGUGAAUUACUAAAUGAUAUGAACUUGAUGUCUAUGUAUGAGAAAAAUGUUUAAAUGAAAAAGUAUAAUUAUUUUCGAACUUCUCCAUUCACCGAGUUAUCAACUUAUAUAUUUUUUCACGUUUUUCUUACCAGGAAGCAGUCGAGUUUGGGGAGCUUUGAAGAGCCUGUUGAUUUAGGAAUCAUCGCCACAUGACCAUUUUAGAUUAUUUAUGUUCAUUGAGCUAAGUGUGUGUGUAUAUAUAUAUAUAUAUAUAUAUAUAUUUGGGCCCAUUGCAUUAUUAGUUUCAUAAACAUUUGAUUUGGCGCAUAUUUUGUAGUAAGUCAUAGUCAGCCUUGAUGGUGGAUCUGACAUCCAGUCAGCAUUCACCAUCGGUGCACGUCAUAGCUCGGGUCCACAAGGUGAUUAGGGAUGGGUCGUGUCAAAAUGGCUUAGACCAAUGAACUCGAAUGGAAUUCUCUCUUUAACAAACUAUGAAUUUUAUACAAAGAAAACCAUUUUUGAUGAA
rnacentral:lncRNA from 1 species